rnacentral:rRNA from 1 species
UACGUAGGCAGCAAGCGUUGUUCGGAGUUACUGGGCGUAAAGGGUGUGUAGGCGGUUGUUUAAGUUUGGUGUGAAAUCUCCCGGCUCAACUGGGAGGGUGCGCCGAAUACUGAAUGACUAGAGUGCGGGAGAGGAAAGUGGAAUUCCUGGUGUAGCGGUGAAAUGCGUAGAUGUCAGGAGGAACACCGGUGGUGUAGACGGCUUUCUGGACCGUAACUGACGCUGAGACACGAAAGCGUGGGUAGCAAACAGG